UACAGAGGUCCCAAGCGUUGUUCGGAUUCACUGGGCGUAAAGGGUGCGUAGGUGGUGAGGUAAGUCUGAUGUGAAAUCCCGCAGCUCAACUGCGGAACUGCAUCGGAUACUAUCUUGCUAGAGGGUUUGAGGGGGGACUGGAAUUCUCGGUGUAGCAGUGAAAUGCGUAGAUAUCGAGAGGAACACCAGUGGCGAAGGCGAGUCCCUGGAAAACUCCUGACACUGAGGCACGAAAGCGUGGGGAGCGAACAGG
rnacentral:rRNA from 1 species